rnacentral:misc_RNA from 1 species
UUAGCACAUGGGAUCUGAGCUCG